AUCAGGUCAAGAUCUAUCUGCCUUGUAAUUUUCAGAUGGAUCGGACAACUGGUUGUUGGGUUGCUGCCCCUGAAUUGGUAAUUUUAAGGAAAUUUUGCAGUUUUUGGUUAUUAUCUUGAAUACUAUUGUAGAUAGAGAUAAACUGUAAACAGCAAUAAUGUUCAGCAAAGUAAGAUCUACAAAUAAGUCAACAUGACCAAAAUUGUCAGAAAACUCCUUAAGGAGUUAUUGUCCUUUAUAGUCAAUAUUGAACAACCUUUUUGUCAUUUUUGUCAAAUUUAACCAAACUUGGCCACAAUCAUUACUAGGGUAACUGUUUUAAAAAAGUGUCUAAUGACCCUGCCUGCCAACCAAGAUGGCCGACAGUAAAUACAGUAACAGGUGAGCGACACAGGCUCUUGAGAGCCUCUAGUUUUAUCUCUCAGUGUAAAACAAAUUUUAAUUGCAUCGGUUAGAGCAGCAAUUUUGAUAGUAGUGAUCAAUUUUUUUUUUAUUAUUUGUUGGCCAACCAAAUUUUGCUAUUUUCAAAAGAAGAAAAAAAUGAAUUGUUAUUUUUAUGUUUUUUACAAACCCUUCAUAACAUUUUAUUCUUGUAAUAUAAAUAUGAAAUAAUGCACAUACAGUGUAUACGAUCUUUUAUUCCCACAAACAUAGACCCUAACAUUUUCAGAGUAAAUAUAAUUGAAGCAAAUUAAAAACCAUGGUCUUAAUAACAUAAAUAUAUUUUGCUACAUUAUAAAAAAGACACUUAUUUUUCCUUAUUUACUUCUUUUCUCUGAAGUGAAUAAUUUUAUCUGUCAUAUACUCUAAGCAGUUUAAAGGCAUCUACUGUCGUAACUAUUAAUUUUUAAGGGGGUUAAAUUUUUUAAUCUAUUUUUAGACUAGUCAAGUUUUUAAGAUAUAGAAAUGUUUAAUACUCUUGCAUACCUCUGUCAUAUCUGUGUUUUUAGUCUUAUCAUGCUGUGAUCAUUGUAUUUGACUACCAUCUUUCUUUGUAACUUUUUCUAACACAAUAUACAUGUAUAUGAAGAGUUAAAAUAUUCUAUGCAUCACUUUAGUUAUUUAUUUGUGUUGAAAGAAAUAUUUAGAUACUGUAAAUUCAGAAUUUAUUGUGAGGUUUUUAUUAAUUUGAAUAUAAUACGAAUGAGUGAGUAUCACAAAAUAAGAACUCACAUUCUUACAUCUGAUUCCUAUAUCUGUAUGCAGAUUUUUACAACAUUGCACUAAUUAAUCUCACAUGUUUGUCCAUUUUUCAAAAAAUCACAAUAAUAAGUGCACACAAUAUUGCUGAAUUUACAGUAAUUAGUUUAGAUAACUCAAGAGUCGAGAGUCUGACAUGAUAUAUUUCCAACACUGAUAGACUUACAAUAUGUCAACUUGAAAUCUUUCACCUACCUCAUCUCAAGCUUUAAGGCUUUGUCUUAAAAUACUGUUAUAACUUUUUUAAAUGAAUGUAACAUCUAUGUGAAUGAACUAACAAGUGAUGUGCCAUUUCUAUAAACACAUUUUUAAGAAAAUUUAUAUGAGAAAAAAAAAAGAUUUUGUGUCUAACCUUUCAAUGCAGUGUUAGAUGCCAUCCAUUUGCAAUGAAUGUGUUACCUAUUUAUAUGAAGAUAGAAGACCUUGUUGGUUGCUUCAUACCUUGUUUAGAAGCCUUAUAUUACAAAGUUUCCGUCCAUCAAAUGUCAAUUGGCAUAGGCAAGACUGUUCAGCCUAUGUGCACAUGAUCAUGGAUCAGCGACUGCUUUUGUCAUAUGUUUCACACUUAUUAUGAGAAGUAAGAUAAUUAUAUAUAGUAAUUGGAUCCUUCAAAGGUUUAAGUCAUUUCUCAGAUACAUGAGAUACUUUAUAUGUUGGUGUUUAUUCUAAUUACGAUUACUGUCAUUUACUUUUGUACUUAUUUGGGUUCAGUUAACGAACACAGAUACAUUUUUGUACUUUUGAGUGUUAUACAGUUAACUAACACAGAUACUUUUGAGUGCUAUACAGUUAACUGUUUAUAACCGAUAAUGCAAUAACAUUCUGACGAAAGUUUACUGGCACAUGUUUUUCUAAUACUGGAUGCUGACUUGUCAAUGUGGUUGAAUUUAAUCAGAAUAUUGAUUUUGAAAAAGCCAAUCAUUUAUAGUUAAAAUCUAUAAGUUGCAAACUUUGGUCAAUGUAAAGUUUUCCUGGUUUGGUCUGUCUCUUAGAUACUAAGCAAUGAAUUAAAAGUGUACAUGUCUCAUGAUGUCUAUCUGGAAUGUAUCACAUGACUUUGACCUUAUUGUCAUGGUUCAAUGGUCAAUGUUUUGGAUGGUUUGGUCUCAUGGAUGAUAUAAGCAGUCUGUCAACUAUAUUUGGUGCUAGAAUGAAUUAAAGGUGUACAUGUCUAUCUGGAAUGUAUCACAUGACUUUGACCUUAUUGUCAUGGUUCAAUGGUCAAUGUUUUGGAUGGUUUGGUCUCAUGGAUGAUAUAAGCAGUCUGUCAACUAUAUUUGGUGCAAGGAAUGAAUUAAAGGUGUAUAUGUCUAUCUGGAAUGUAUCACAUGACUUAGACCACAUUGUCAUGAUUCAAUGGUCAAUGUGUUGGAUGGUUUGGUCUCUUGGAUGAUAUAAGCAGUCUGUUAACUAUAUUUGGUGUAUGGAAUGAUUGUAAGGUGUACAUGUCUGAUCUAUCAGGGUUUUUCUUACCUUUACCUGGUUGUCAUGACCACUACUAAUUAUGUAAAAUUUAUGUGAUACUUAUGCUUAGUAAAAAAAAAAUCUGAAUUUCAACAUUAAAUCAGUCAUGGUCAGUAAAGCAGGCAAGACAUUUUAUCGUGUGCACUCUUUACUCAUUCAGUUAUGUUUACUCUUCAAAAUACCUCAGCAACUAUAAAUAUAUCAUGUUUGAAGUAUGGGGUAUGUCGAUUUUUAAUUUUUUCUGAAGCAGUUGAUGGCCUUCUAUUGUGGUAGAAGAGACGUUUAAACCUAUCAUAAUAUGUCAACUCUUGUUUAAUCAAACAGAAAUCAAAAAAAUGCUGGUGAAUUAUGUUUCGACAUUAAAAAGAAUACUUAAAGGACUUGACAUAGUCACAUUUUGCAAACGGUACAAUGUUCUGAUCUAUAUCUUUUUCUUUUUCUUUUCUGUCUUAUUAUCUAUUUUACACUUUGUAUUUUUAUUUGUGUUUUAUAUGCAAUAAUAAUAAUAGUU
rnacentral:lncRNA from 1 species